rnacentral:rRNA from 1 species
GUCCACGCCGUAACGAUGUCAACUAGCCGUUGGUUCCUUGAGGACUUAGUGGCGCAGCUAACGCAUUAAGUUGACCGCCUGGGAGUACGGCCGCAAGGUUAAACUCAAAUGAAUUGACGGGCCCGCACAAGCGGUGGAGCAUGUGGUUUAAUUCGAAGCAACGCGAAGAACCUUACCAGGCCUUGACAUCUACAGAACUUUCCAGAGAUGGAUUGGUGCCUUCGGGAACUGUAAGACAGGUGCUGCAUGGCUGUCGU